rnacentral:lncRNA from 1 species
AUGCUGGAGAGAAGCAGACACUGUGCUACCCACUUACCUAUGUGCCUGGUGAAUCUACUGUCAACUGUUGAAAGCAGUAACUGGCCCCUAACAUCACCACAUCCAAAGGCCAUGAAAGAGCGAAAUCUGUCUAGUAGACCGUUGAACUCCCAGGCCUCUAUUCUGAAGUCUCAUGGGAGCCGUUCUGUUUAAGUUCACUGCACCUGAUCCCAAGGAGCUCAAGGAGCUUGCCAAGGGACUGGUUUCUGUCAUGACUGUUCCAGAGCACUAAGGGGACCCUACAUACUCUAGAUGCCUGGGAGCCACUGAGAAAGAAAUCUGGGAGAAUUGAUGCUGCUCAAGUGUUCCUAAAUCAACAAACUUGAAAACACCAACAAGGCAUAGUCUAAAAAGGUAAUUGACAAAGUAAUCCCAUUACAAUAGCAUCAAAAAUAAUAAAAUACCUAGGAGUGAACUUAUGAAGGAGAUG